rnacentral:rRNA from 1 species
UGAAGCGGCAACAGCUCAAAUUUGAAAGCUGGCCUUCGGGUCCGCAUUGUAAUUUGUAGAGGAUGCUUUGGGUGAAACGCCAGUCUAAGUUCCUUGGAACAGGACGUCAUAGAGGGUGAGAAUCCCGUAUGUGACUGGAAAUGUUAACCUAUGUAAAGCUCCUUCGACGAGUCGAGUUGUUUGGGAAUGCAGCUCUAAAUGGGAGGUAAAUUUCUUCUAAAGCUAAAUAUUGGCGAGAGACCGAUAGCGCACAAGUAGAGUGAUCGAAAGAUGAAAAGCACUUUGGAAAGAGAGUUAAAAAGCACGUGAAAUUGUUGAAAGGGAAGCGCUUGCAAUCAGACUUGUUUAAACUGUUCGGCCGGUCUUCUGACCGGUUUACUCAGUUUGGACAGGCCAGCAUCAGUUUCGGCGGCCGGAUAAAGGCUCUGGGAAUGUGGCCUUCACUUCGGUGAAGGUGUUAUAGCCCGGGGUGUAAUACGGCCAGCCGGGACUGAGGUCCGCGCUUCGGCUAGGAUGCUGGCGUAAUGGUUGUAAGCGACCCGUCUUGAAC